AAGUCGUAACAAGGUAGCCGUACCGGAAGGUGUGGCUGGAACACCUCCUUUUUGGAGCUUA
rnacentral:rRNA from 1 species